GUCUUGAAACACGGACCAAGGAGACUAGCAUGUGCGCGAUCUUGGGAAUAACUAAACCUAAAGGCGCAAUGAAAGUGAAGGUCCGCCUCGCGCGGACCGAGGGAGGAUGGGCGGACGCGACUACAAGGUUGGCCGUCCCGCACUCCCGGGGCGUCUCGUUCUCAUUGCGAGAAGAGGCGCACCAAGAGCGUACACGCUGGGACCCGAAAGAUGGUGAACUAUGCCUGGUCAGGACGAAGUCAGGGGAAACCCUGAUGGAGGUCCGUAGCGAUUCUGACGUGCAAAUCGAUCGUCGGAACUGGGUAUAGGGGCGAAAGACUAAUCGAACCAUCUAGUAGCUGGUUCCCUCCGAAGUUUCCCUCAGGAUAGCUGGCGCUCGUCGCCUACGAGUCUCAUCCGGUAAAGCGAAUGAUUAGAGGCAUUGGGGUCGAAACGGCCUCAACCUAUUCUCAAACUUUAAAUGGGUGAGAUCUCCGGCUUGCUCGAACUAUUGAAGCCGCGAGACACGGAUCAGAGUGCCAAGUGGGCCAUUUUUGGUAAGCAGAACUGGCGCUGUGGGAUGAACCAAACGUCGAGUUAAAGCGCCUAAAUCGACGCUUAUGGGAUACCAUGAAAGGCGUUGGUAACUUAAGACAGCAGGACGGUGGCCAUGGAAGUCGGAAUCCGCUAAGGAGUGUGUU
rnacentral:rRNA from 1 species